UCAAGUAUGAGAAAUGAAAUUCUCGACAAGUUGCACAUAGGUCAUUUUGGUCUUGAGAAAACCAGAUCCAAGGCAAAACAGAGUGUGUUUUGGCCAGGAUUGUCUAAAGAUAUUUUUUCGACAAUAAUGAAAUGCGCAACAUGUGCAACGUUCAAAAGAAAUAAUGUGAAGGAAAAAUUGCUACCUCAUGCUGUACCAGACAGACCAUGGAAAAAGGUUGCGACAGAUUUGUUUGAAUGGCGAAACAAUGACUAUUUGCUAGUUGUGGACUAUUUCUCCAAAUAUCCUGAAAUAAAACGACUAGAGAACAAAACAGCAGAAUGUGUUAUCAGGGCAAUGAAAGGUAUUUUUGCUAGACAUGGCAUACCAGAAGAAAUAGUGAGCGACAAUAUGCCAUUCAAUAGCUAUCAAUAUAGAGAGUUUGCUUCUGAAUGGGGUUUCAAGAUAACAACAUCAAGUCCCAGAUACCCUCAAUCAAAUGGACAAAGUGAGGUGUAUGUUGGUAUCGUAAAGCAGAUAUUCAACAAAGCAUACAAAAGUGGGAAAGAUCCAUAUCUCGCUAUGCUCGAGUAUAGAAAUACUCCGAUAAGCGGACUGCUUUAUUCGCCAUCACAACUGCUGAUGAGUAGAAGACUCAGGGACAUCAUUCCAACUGAUCCCAAACUAUUGAAACCAUCGGUAGCUGAAAAUGCAGAGACAUUACUCAACGAACGACAGAGGAAAAGCAAAGUGAGGUACGAUGCAAAAGCAAGGUUACCUAAAGACUACUCUGUCGGGGAGAAGGUGAGAGUUCGUCUAGGACAAACAUGGCAGAAAGCAGUCGUCAUUAAGAAACAUCCAUCACCCAGAUCUUACAUCAUAAAGACAAAUGAUGGGAAAACAUACAGACGAAAUCAACGGUUUUUAAACAAGAGCUACGAAGAAGACAUCUCUGGGUACUAUGACACCGACGAAGACAAUGAACAGCAAACUGUUAGAACAAAAGAAACAGACAAUUAUAAACCAACAUCUAGAGAACUUGCUGUGCCGGUCAAGACAACCAGAAGUGGUCAAGUUGUCAAAAUUCCUUGUAAAUAUAAGUAUUAAGAACUUUAAAAGGAAGGAUGUGAUGAUAGCUUCAAAAGGAAGGAUGUGCUAAUAUUAGAAGAUAUUACGUCAUUGUUUGUUGUUUAUGUUUUAUGCGAAAGCAAAGAAUCGGACGGAAAUAAAAGUUAGUUAUAUAUGUCUACCUUGAUAAAGACAGUCUCGUUAUUAUCAUUAUUAAUUAGUAACGUCUACAGUAAUGUAUUAUUAAUCUGUGACAACAGAACAUCUACUCUGUACUGUAGUCUACAGUGUAGAUCUACGUUUCAGCUGCCAAAUAAUUGACCUGAAAAAAAAAAAAACAACCCUAAAUUUAGUGAUUUUACUAAAGUUGUUCAUACAGUGUCAGAAGACUUAAGGACAUCUAAACUUAUUCGCCAACGUGCUGAAUGAACAUUUCGAAAGACAGGUCUGACAAAUGACAAUACAUCGACAAAUCUAUAUCCAAGAAGAAAAACAAGAAAUGGAACCAGUGGAUCUAAAAAAAAAGAAGUAUAUUGAAAAUGAUUUGGUCCCAACUCUUGAUGCUUCUAUAGUGCGGCUGGCUAAAAUAAGAAAACAUCAGCCACCAAAAUGUCGUAACAAAGCAAGAGAAAUUACUAAUAAUGUGAUUCGUUAUUAUAGUAAAGUAUGUGUGAAAAGUAAUAACAAACUGAAAGGGCAGCAGCUCAUUUUAAGGAAUCAUCAAGAAUUGUUCAGUACAGAUAGCCAGAAUAUUCCUAAGGAUCUUAAUGCCUUUAUGAAGGUCAUUACAGAAACCUUAGCACAGAGACAAGUAAUUAAAGAAGUUCUUCAAAGUGUAAACAGUUUGGACACUGUAAACAAAUACAAAAAGUUCAACUUUGGUGAUAUGAACUCUUCAACGCUUCCUUUUUUAAGCAUCAGUUUAUUACAAGAGUCUAGUUGUGAUUUUCAUCUCUCAGACAACCCAGAUUUUGUUUGUACAUUAAACCCUGAUUUUGUUUGCACUUAAUUUUUGUUUCCUUUUUAUUAUUGAUUUACUGCUUGUUGGUCAUUUUAGCACAGGUUGCGCAGCAGUGUCAAAAGUUUCCUGUCUUAAUGCAACUUUCUCAGCAUCAUCUCUCAUAAUGCUAAUUAGCUCUUCAACAUGGUCAUUAAGGUGAUAAUUUUAAUCUUGAAAGUAUGGUUGAGAGCCAGUUCAUUGUCUGCAUUUAAAGGACAGAUCCAGUCCAUCUAGCUUGUUUAUCUGUUUGUUAGUUGUUGUCAGUUAAGUAAAGCAAAUAAUUAAACUGAAUUUGUAUUUCUCUAUGUGUAAGCUAAAUAAAUCAUCAGUCCUCGAGUUUUUUCUUUAUGAAUUAGCAACAAUAUUUGUGAUUCCUUCUUUAUAAAAUAAUGUUUCAUAAAAUUUUACAUAACUUUUAUUUAAAAAAAAAAAAAAGGUUAACAUUAUUUUAUUUCACUGUUCUUGGUGCAUGUGAAUUUGAAUAUUUUAUUAUUUAAUAUUUAAGGAAGAUGAACAGGAGUACAUACAUCUACAUAUUGAUCUAAAAUUCUGUAAUGACAUUGAUUGUCCUCUUCAGUUAUUUAAAAUUCUUAAUUGAUAUUUUUUUAUUGUUAUUACUAAGAACGUGUCAAUGCAUUUCUGAAAAUAUUAUCUACCAUUCUAAUCUCAUUAUAUCUUUUGAAUUAAGUUUAUUAAUACUCAUUCAAUCAGAUAAAGAACUUUUCCAGUCUUGCUGUUUUAUGUGAUUUGUGCUUUGUAUGCAAUCUAUGAAAUGAUAUGAACCAAAUUUUGUGUGGUUCUUGUUUUUGUUUUAAUCUGACAUUUUUCUUUAAAUGAUGUAAAUACUUAUGGAUGUUUUUAAUGGUAUGAUUAUUAGAUGACCGUGUUAUUACAAUUUUACAUAUUAAAUGUCUAGAAAUAAAAACUUAUUUGGAUGCAUUUUACAUUUGAAAAAAAUAUUUCCCAAUAAAUUUUAAAAAAUGUUAACUAGUAACUGGUACUGUUUUAGUGGUUCAGAACAUGUUUCAUCACUUUGAUGCAGCAACUCUCUAAAAUCUUAUUGCAAAUCUCAUUUCCUAUAACUCUUCAUAAUAAAAUAAUUUCUAGCAGUCACAAAUGGAAAAAUCACUUUAAGUUUUGUGCUGUAUUAUGUCAUGUUUAGAUGUCAAAAACUAAAAGAACUAUUUUUUUUUUAAAAUCUAAUUUUAAUCAUAGCCUGUUAAGUGCAAUGGCUACAUUUAUUUUUCAUAAACUCCACCAUUAUAAGAACAACAUUUAGAAGUCUUACAUUAUAUACAACUGUAUAUACCUGUAUCAAGAUUAAUAGAACGGAAACAGUUUUUGUCUUUGUAUAUAGACUUGCAGUAGACACUGGCUAGGACCAUUGAUUUGUUCACAGGCUUUUAUUGUUUAUUAUGGCCAAAACAACCACAUCUUUUCUUUUUUUGAAUUUUAAUAAAUCUGCCUCAUUUUAAUGAUCAACCUACAUUUUUCAGCCUGUGAAUUAGUGUCUUUUACGAUAAAAUUUCAUGGCCCGCUCUCUCCAUCCUUCUCUCUCUCUCUUUUUUUUCGCUCCCUUUUUUUUUUUUUUACCUGCGCAUCAUAAUAUUUCCUUAGAUCAUGAGGAGUUUGCAAUUUAUUCAUUUUUUUCCUAAGACAGCUCAUUAGGAGUUUUGUAACUUUUUCAUUUUUCAUUAGGCAGCUAAUUAGGACUUUGCAACUGGUUCUUAUUUCCUUAGAGAACUCAUUAGUAGUUUUUAACUUGUUUAUAUUUUAUUAGAAAGCUCAUUAGGAGCAAAGAACUUAUUUAUAUUUCCUUAUUAGGAGCUGCAACUUUUUCAUAUUUGCUUAGUCAUCUCAUUAAGAGUGUGAAACUUGUCUAUAUUUCUUCAGACUGUUCAUUAGGAGUCUACAACUUGUCCAUAUUACCUUAGCUCAUUAGGAGUUUGUAACUUGUUGAUAUUACCUUAGACAACUCAUUAGGAGUUUGAAAGUUUUUCAUAUUUCCUUAGACAGAUUAUUAGGAGUUGGCAAGUUGUUAAUCCUUAGAGAACUUAUUAGGCUUUUGGAACUUUCUUAUAUUUCAUUUUGAAAGCUCAUUAGGAGUUAGCAACUUGUUAGUAUUACUUUAAACAACGUGUUAGUAGUUUUGCAACUUUUUCUUAUUUCCUUAGACAUUAAAAUUCUCAUUGUUUUGUUUCUAUGAAAUACACAUUUAUAACAUACUGGUAGACAUAAUGCACUCACAAAUUUGUUUUAUUAUACUUUAUUGACCAUCAUCUGUUAAGGGGGUCUAAAAAUUGUACCUCUACUUAAAACAUACUAAUACACAUGCUUUUUGUUGCAAACAUAUUUUUUCUAAAUAACUGUGUGUAUGUCAUUUAAGAUACGUGCUAAUUAUGUCCAUAGAAACAAUAAUAAUAAAUAAUAAGCCUUGUUUUCAAGUCUAAAGAGAAAUGAAUCAAUAUUUCCUGUGUCUAUGCAGCCCCAGCUGCAACCUACAUAUUUUUUCACAUCCAGCACAGGCAUAACCAUUGUCUGCCAGUGGUCGAUUUAGAUUUUCUUUUCAGUGUCUAUAUCUGUCCUGGGCAUUGGAUUUUCUUUUGGUCUCAAUUGUGUAUCCUGCAGCCUUUGUAAGUGAACUCCAGCUGUCUCAUUCUGGUGGGCAUGACAUGGCCUAAAUUGUGCCAAUGUACCAAAAACCCAAAAUAUCAAAUAUCCACUGUCUUCAUUCUGAAGCCGCCUGCAAACAGAUGCUCUAUUUUAUGUCAGUUAAAGCAAGUGGCACCUAAGCUGGUCUUUAAAGCGUUGGUGUCAUAGUUAAUAUAUAUCAUAGUUUUUUUUAUAUGAACCCCAAAUAAGAAAGCUUUUCUCAUGUAAAAAAAAUGGUAUGUGUGUGAGCCCUAGACUGUCUCAAUCUCGUCUAUUCCCACCAGACAUAUGCUCAGUAAAAAUACUGGUAAAUACAAUUUCGACAAUUUUUUCUUCUCACACUCUUUUUAGCAUUUUACUGGUUAAAUAAACAUUGCAAACAUGGCAUACAUUAUAUACAUAUUAUAUACAUUGAAUAAGGGGACGUAUCUUCCCAUCAAAUGUGAUCACAUGAAUGCUCUGGGACAUCUUUUAUUAUUCAGUCAGAAUAUAUUUCACUAGCAUUUCUGCUGUUCAGUUUUGUCCUUGCAUCAGAAGUCUCAUCAUCAAGACCAGUCAGUACAGUUAGCAGAUCUUUGGAAGACCCCAGUACAUUUGUAGACAGUAGUGUUGUCUGCAGACUUCAUCAAUCUUAUGUAGCUAUAGUAGCAAACUAAUAGAGAAUCCUAAAAAAAAAAAAAAGCAAAAUAAAAAAAUAGUUUUUAUGCAAUAUAUAUCUAGAUAUAUUAUAGAUACCGGUACUAAAAAAGAAAAAAAGUAAAGCACCCCUUUCAGACCUUGUGAUCUAUAGGGCAGAUAAUGUACAAGUCAUCUGUUUCUGUGGCCCAUGGUUAACUAGGGUGUCAUGUGGCCAGCACAAUGAUCUUUACUUUUCCUCAAUUAAUGUCAGGUACCCAUUAGAGUUGGAUGGACUCCGGGGGUUGCCCUAAAAAUCCUGAUAGUAUAUAUACUGGUACCAGUAAAUCAAAGUAUUAGCAAUUUGUUUAAAGUAUGAUGGUAAAGUAAAAAGGGAAAAAAUUCUGCUGUACUUUUUUUUAGCACUGUGCAACAAUUUUAUUUUUAUUAUUAAAUCUAAAAUUUUAUUUUUAUUAUUAAAUCUAAAAAAAAUUUUUUUUGUUUUGAUAAGGGGUGUGUGACCAGUGCAUAUUUUCAUUUUAAAAUAAUUUCAAUCCAGUCCAAGUUAAAAAAUAUAGUGCAUUAUAACACAAAUAAAUUCUAGAUGUAGUAGUUUUCUCUAUUUUAAAACAUGUACCGGUAUUAGUUUACAUUUGUCACUGCUAUCACCAAACAACCAUUCCAUUUUUUUGGUUUAUGUAGCAACUGUUUUACCAGAACCUCUCAAUUAGUGCAUUUCUUCAACAUGAUUAUUGUACCUAACAAAUGAAUCUAGUGCUCACAGGCAGCACUGAAAUCUCUUCCCAGAACUGAUCCUCCACAAAAAGGGACAUGCUAGCGCACUGGGAAUGUUUGAAUGAUCUCAUAAAUACCGUAAAUAAAGUUCAAGUUAGCAUC